CCUACGGGAGGCAGCAGUGAGGAAUAUUGGUCAAUGGGCGCAAGCCUGAACCAGCCAAGUCGCGUGAGGGAUGACGGUCCUACGGAUUGUAAACCUCUUUUGCCGGGGAGCAAGCGUGCGUUCGUGAACGCACGUCGAGAGUACCCGGAGAAAAAGCAUCGGCUAACUCCGUGCCAGCCGCCGCGGUAAUACGGGGGAUGCGAGCGUUAUCCGGAUUUAUUGGGUUUAAAGGGUGCGUAGGCGGGAUGCCAAGUCAGCGGUAAAAAUGCGGUGCUCAACGCCGUCGAGCCGUUGAAACUGGCGUUCUUGAGUGGGCGAGAAGUGUGCGGAAUGCGUGGUGUAGCGGUGAAAUGCAUAGAUAUCACGCAGAACUCCGAUUGCGAAGGCAGCAUACCGGCGCCCUACUGACGCUGAGGCACGAAAGCGUGGGUAUCGAACAGGAUUAGAUACCCGAGUAGUC
rnacentral:rRNA from 1 species